rnacentral:rRNA from 1 species
AGUAACACGUGAGCAACCUGCCCUUGACUCUGGAAUAACAGUUGGAAACAGCUGCUAAUACCGGAUAUGACCUCUGACGACAUCGUCUGGAGGUGGAAAGCUCCGGCGGUCAAGGAUGGGCUCGCGGCCUAUCAGCUUGUUGGUGAGGUAACGGCUCACCAAGGCUUCGACGGGUAGCCGGCCUGAGAGGGCGACCGGCCACACUGGGACUGAGAUACGGCCCAG